rnacentral:lncRNA from 10 species
GAGCUGGCCAAGGACAGUGGGCGUGGGGGAGCUCCGGCAGUGGUGCUUCAUAUGGGGGGAGCACAGGGACCCCCUAAAUAGACCUUGCAGAGCACCGGGUGGACGUGAGGAGCUGUAGGCUGGGCCCUGGCUAUUGGGGAAUUAAUUUCUCCAUGAUUCCCCCCAUCCUUUUCCAGGAUUCCCAACCCUCAUAGAACAGCCAAGGAGCGGGUCACCGGCUGCCUCGUUAAAGUUGAAUUUCAGCAACAUCUAUCAAGGUACCUUGCUGCAAAUGCCAAACACUUGGAUGAAAGCCUGGAUGAAGUCUCCUCCAGCUACCCUGGGAAGUGCUCUCUGGCCUAUGGUAACCUACAGGUGGAACUUGAGGUGUGAUGUGCCACCUGGGCUUGGUAAACAGCCCCUCCUUAUGUGUAUAUACCACAUUUUCUAUAUCCACACAUGCAGGUGGACAUUUAGACUGCUUCCUCAUCUUGGCUAUUGUGAAUAACAUUGCAGUGGAAUAUUACUCAGCCACAAAAAAGAAGGCAAUCUUUUCACAUUCAACAAAAUAAAUGAACCUUGAGAUCAUUAUGCUGAGUGAAACAAACCAAUAACAGAAAGACAAAUACUUCAUGAUCUCACUUAUAUGAGGCAUCUAAAGCAGUUAAACCCACAGAAGCAGAAUGUGGAGUGGUGGUUACCAGGACCUGGGAGGAGGGGGAAAUGGAGAGUUACUAUUCAAGGAGAAUUGAUGUUCAUAGAGUCAGUCAUGCAAGAUGAGAGAGUUCCAGAGACGUAGAUCAUUGUGCUUAGUGUUAAUGAUAAUGUAUUGUACACAUAAAAUUUUGGUGAAGAGGGCAGAUUUCAUGUUAUGUGUGUUUUUCAUAAUAAAAUAGUUUCUAAAGGAAUUAAAACUAUCCCACACUAUACCCCUCUGGCCCCAGGAUUCUUCUUCCCUUAGUUCUUUCUGCCCAGAACCACCUGAAGACUGGCAGCUGAGUGUUCUGAAAAAAGCUCUAAGCUUGGGGGAGGGAGAUCCAGGUUUCUUGACUGUACUUCUUAUUGACUGUGUGAUGCGUGCAAAAUACUUAAACUCCUUUCUCCACGUUUCCUUAUCUUUGAAAAUGGAGCACAUAGAAAUACCAGUCUUGGCUACCCUGCAGAGUUUCUGGGAAAAUCUAAUGAGCUCAUGUUUGAGGAAGCGCAUUGUGAAUAAUAAAACACGAUACAGG